UGCAGGUAUGAUAGCGAUGCUGCGAGGAGGAGUAGGAGGAGGAGGCGAAGGAAGAGCCGGUUUGGCCAAAACUCACGAGACGUAAACCUAAAAGGCAUGCUGGGAAUGAGGGGUCAACGGCAACACCUCGUGACCUGCUGCUCACCUCAGCACCUUUGACCUCGGAGGGGACGCCAGUGCCAAAAUCCACACUUCCACGGGCCACCCUUCACAUGUAAGAAAGGGGCUAAUGCCGCAGGCCUUUCAUGCUUGGCGGAGGUAAUGACUCACGCAAACAGCUACAUUGUGUUUUCGCAAAACAACGGAAGCAUUCAUCACAGUCCAGCUGCUCACUGCUGUCGUCGUGAGGGAGAACCGUGCGCUCACAUUUUUACACGCGUCGGCAAAGGUCCUCGAACGCAUCGAUUGUUGAGCGCAUGGAGCUUUUUGGAAUUCUGCUGCACCCUUUUUCCAUCUUUCCAUGUUUGCCAGCGCAGCAGACAAUGGCAGGAAGGGGAAACUUGUCAUGGGAAGCGUGCGUGCGUGUGUGCGCGUGCGUGCGUGUGUGUGUGUAACAGUACAAACAAGCUGCGCCACAACCCGGCCUUAAAACAUCAUUCAUAUUUUUGCAUGUACGUAAGCAAAGUAUCAGCUUUUAGAUAACAAAUAUAAAACCAGAUUUUGAUUAAAUGUUGUGGCCUAAUUUAUUUUGAAGAUUAUUUAUGACCUUUUUUUUUUCUACAUUCUAAUGUAUUUUUUAAUUUGGGGAAAAUAUUAUCUAAACACAAACAGAGAAAUAUGUAAAUUAGUAUUUCUAGGAAUUCUGAUUCCAGCCAUCCAUCCACUCUCUGCACGGCGUAUCC